AUGCCUGGCUUCUUUGGCAUAGGAACUAAAUGGAACGAUGGAACGAUAAAUUGGUACUAGUUCCUUUAUCGGAACGGACCGAAAAGGAUCGAUCACUUUGAUGAACGAUUUUGCCCAAGACUAAACGCAAAUACCAAAAAUUUUUUUUAACAUAACAAAGUUUGAAAGAUUCCAAAAAAAAAUAUGAAAGUUAUUAUCCAGGAACGAAAAUUAGGUCGUUUUAUUUGCCAGUAUUGCGGAUUGGUAGCUUAAGCCGAGUACUCUGUUCAGUUUUUCAAGCGGAAUGCUGUCACUCUGUUUAUAGUGAGGAAAAUGGCAAAAAGAAAUUUUAGUGGCAACGCUUGACAUCAAUGUCGCCAUCAUUUUUGUCUUAUUGGUUCCUGUGGUUCGUUUUUUCUUUUUGUUAGUUUAUUUAAUUGCGAAAAAAUAUAAAACCAUAAGUGCAGAUAAAAAACAUCUUUUGGUAUGAAAAUAAAAACGAAACAUAACCGUCAAUUAAAUAUUACGGCGACUAUUCCGAAUGUUUAUACUAGCUACGCGCUUGAGGGUAUAGUGUCUACAUACGUUUGCGAAUAACAAACCAAAAUGAAAACAAAAAAGCUUGCUCUCGGCCUUUACUGUUACUUACAGGGCAAAGAGAGUCUGUUAAUAAUAAAAAAAAAAAACUUCUCAGCAGAAAAUAUUGCACCCCCGGAUUGUUUAAUUAAAAAUAAAUUCUGAAUAACAUACAAAACUCAGUCUCAGAUAGCGCUAUGAAGUUAUUAAUUUAAAAGAUAAAUGAAAUAAAUUAAAAAAAUUCAAAUUUGAAUUCAGUCUCAAAAAAAAACUCAAGA
rnacentral:sRNA from 1 species